GGCUCUGUAGCUCGGGGGUUAGAGCGCUGGUCUUGUACACCAAGGGCUGUGAGUUCAGAUCUCACUGGGGUGU
rnacentral:tRNA from 1 species